UGCGCUUGUUCUACAUUAGUUUUACUGGGUCCUGGACAUGCUUAACAUGCUUAUUUUGUGGACUGUGUAAGAAACAUUUUUAUUGUUUUUGGUUUUAUUAAGGGGUUCAAUGGGGUUAUUUUUUCAUUUCAUUUCAUUUUCAUAAAUAUCGAAUAGGAUAGCAAGGAUAGCAUAAAGAAACAUUUAAAAUCCAAAAAGUCGAGGGCGAAAGCCACUGUGACACCAUUGUUAUGCUCUAUCAGUAAUCUGUAUUAUGUAAAACUGGUCUGUAAAUACAGCAUGUUUCCUAGCGGAGUUAUACAUAUCAGCAUAGUUAUAAAUUACAGUUUGUUAAAUCACACACUUAAUUGUUUAAAUAAAAUUAUUCACAACAUGUGAGUGGACAGACAAUGGAGGCCUACAGACCUGGUGAUAAUUGCUUCUAUAGAAAGUUAGCACAUGGCAGUGUCAAUCUCUUGCUUUUCUUCUGAGUAGUAUUUUAUUUAGUUGUAAUUCAAUCAGUAAUUUGCUUCUUGAAAUUAAGUAAUGAAUUUCUUGUUUUACUUUAUAAAUUUCAGAUCCUGCCUUUACCUGCUCCCUCCUAUACUGAUGUGGUGUAUGUGGUACUGCUGAGCUUGUAUGUGGUAUGUGAACUGUUAUACUUUUAAAAACAAAACUGUUUUAUAAGUUAAUUUUUCUUUAGUGACCCAUUCAAUGCCCCUGUUAUUUCUUCUCCAGAUCUGAACCAUUGUAAAGGUUGCAGUUCAAGGGCCUGAGGUGGAAGCAGAAUUUGUGAUGAUUACUACUGCUCCACUUGUUCCAAGGCUUUUUGCACAACUUGACCAAUACACUGACCAGCUCAUAAAAGUCUUCAAGAAAAAAGGAGGCGCUGCAGUGAAGAAAAUUAGACAAAUUUUGGCCCCAGCCACAAAGAAGGAAACUAUUGAAAAGGGGAGGGAGUGUGUCCUCAGGGCACUACCUUUCUACCUGAAUGAAGACCCAAGCAUCCUCUUCAAAGAAUAAUUGCUACAGCUACAGCUGUUCAGAGGGAGCUGGAACAAAUCACCCUUGCUAUCUUCACCAUCGAAAAAGCUGAUGUCAGCACUCCUCCAGCCGAUGUGGGUAUAACCAUCUAGGGUGUUCUGCAUGUCCUGGAAGACAUGGCCUCUGCAUGUGCACUCUUAAUGGGUGGGAUAUAUGCACUGAAUCUCAGUUAACCUCGAGACUGAAAGCUUUCUUUGAAGUACUUCAGAAGCUCUUCCUUCAUCUGUAUGUCAGCAGACUCUUGACCAAGGUACAGAUGCUCAAGAAUAAACUGAAUAAAUAAGCCAACCCUUAAUUUGGAUGAUGUUCUGUCAGAUGGACAGAAGUUUUUCGGUGGCUGAAUGGGAAUAAAAUGGUAAUUUGUUGUAAAUGACAGAUAAAGGGAAAAACUACAUUUAAGAGAAAUUUAAUUUUGAAAAGUUUGUAAAGUACUACAAUUUGAGAGAUUAUACUCUUGUGGGGGGGCUAGUAAGAGACAAUCAAAAGUAUUGAGAUUUAAAGGAUUUAAUUGAGAGAUGAUACUGCACCAGAAAUGUUGAAGGGUGGUGUGUAUAUUAGCGUUCAAGGCAUAUUGUUAUGAAGUGGAAAUAUGUUCAUAUUCUGUUUAUGCUACAUUGUGUGCAUUGUAAAGGUAAUUGCAAUACAUACUAAGAAUAAGGGUAAGUUAGCAAUGCAAGUUUUUUGCCCAAACACUGGUAAAAUAAACGUUAACAGUGGAAAGUGUUAAAUGGUUACUGUUGUGCUGUUGCAAAAAAACUGAAAGCUGACAAGCUGUUUUAUUGUUAGACCAUAAUGCUGGCAUGUUUUAUUAAAGUUUUAUUUGGGAUGGUGAUAUAAUUUUCUUUGAUUGCUAAUAUCAGUGGCCUAUUUAUUAUUAUCAUUAUUAUUAUUAUUAUUAUUACAUUAAUUUUUUAAAAUUGUGGCUGUUGAGGUGGACACUUCACUUUGCAUUGUUAAAGGAAAGCACUUUAUUGGCGUUGUGUUACUGGACUGACCCUAAGCAAUCAUUGCAAAUAGCAACUUUGCUAUCCAUUUUAGACACUAAAAGAAAAAACACUCCACAGACCUUACUAGCAUCACAUAUGCGUAACUCAAGUGUCCUCUUAUCAACAUGUUAUGUGGUCUUCAAUGUUUUUUUUCUUCUAUUUCUGGCAGAUACAGACAUUUAAUUUAAAGUCUUGAUGUUGCAUCUGUCUA